rnacentral:rRNA from 1 species
AAUAUUGCACAAUGGGGGAAACCCUGAUGCAGCGACGCCGCGUGAGUGAAGAAGUAUUUCGGUAUGUAAAGCUCUAUCAGCAGGGAAGAAGGGGGCGGGCUUGCCCGCCCGGACGGUACCUGACCAAGAAGCCCCGGCUAACUACGUGCCAGCAGCCGCGGUAAUACGUAGGGGGCAAGCGUUAUCCGGAUUUACUGGGUGUAAAGGGAGCGUAGACGGCAAGGCAAGUCUGGAGUGAAAGCCCGGGGCUCAACCCCGGUACUGCAUUUGAAACUGUCUAGCUAGAGUGCAGGAGAGGUAAGUGGAAUUCCUAGUGUAGCGGUGAAAUGCGUAGAUAUUAGGAGGAACACCAGUGGCGAAGGCGGCUUACUGGACUGUAACUGACACUGAGGCUCGAAAGCGUGGGGAGCAAA